rnacentral:rRNA from 1 species
UACAGGGGGGGGCAAGCGUUGUUCGGAAUUACUGGGCGUAAAGGGCCAGUAGGCGGCCAACUAAGUCCGACGUGAAAUCCCCAGGCUUAACCUGGGAACUGCGUCGGAUACUGGAUGGCUUGAAUUCGGGAGAGGGAUGCAGAAUUCCAGGUGUAGCGGUGAAAUGCGCAGAUAUCGGGAAGAAUAUCCGUGGCGAAGGCGGCUCUCUGGUACGGCACUGACGCUGAGACGCGAAAAGCGUGGGGGAGCGAACAGG